rnacentral:rRNA from 1 species
UACGGGGGGGGCAAGCGUUGUUCGGAAUUACUGGGCGUAAAGGGCUCGUAGGCGGCCAACUAAGUCAGACGUGAAAUCCCUCGGCUUAACCGGGGAACUGCGUCUGAUACUGGAUGGCUUGAGGUUGGGAGGGGGAUGCGGAAUUCCAGGUGUAGCGGUGAAAUGCGUAGAUAUCUGGAGGAACACCGGUGGCGAAGGCGGCAUCCUGGACCAAUUCUGACGCUGAGGAGCGAAAGCCAGGGGAGCAAACGGG